UGAGAGCAGAACAGAACACAAUCUUCAUCAUCACACAAGACACAACAACAACAAUGAACAACAUCAUCAUCCUCAUCUGGACCAUUGGGGUUUUUAUUCAAGCCUCCAGAGGAAUCACUUUGACUCAACCUAAAGUUAAAACUGUCCAGCUCGGUCAAACAGCUACAAUAGAGUGUAACAUAGAUGUAGGGAUACUUAGCAGCUACUUACACUGGUAUCAGCAGAAACCUGGAGAAGCUCCUAAACUCCUCAUUUACUGGAUCAACAGCCUCCAGUCAGGAACUCCAUCUAGAUUCAGUGGCAGUGGAACAGCAAGUACUGGAAAAGAUUUCACUCUGACCAUCAGAGGAGUCCAGACUGAAGAUACAGGAGAUUAUUACUGUCAGAGUGUACACUGGAUCAGUAGUAGCUGGGUGUUCACACAGUGAUAAAGAGUCGUACAAAAACCUCCGUCAGUCAGAGUCACAGUGACUGCACUGAUACAGCUGAGAGACACUGCAGCUGCUGAUGGAGGUUAUUUCUUAUAACAGUCUCAUUUACUCAAAAAAGUCUUGUACUGAUUUAUGAAUCUUUCUGGUUCUUUAAUGUGUGUUUCACUCAUUACUUCAACAUGGAUGUAUUUAAUUCAUCAUUUAAAAUGUUCCACCAUUAA